rnacentral:lncRNA from 1 species
AUAAAUGAAGUAGAGAACUACUUUUAAUGAUUAUUAAAAUUUAAAAUACAUCAAGACCUUUCUUGAUCUUGAUGAAUAUUCAAUUAAUAAUAUAUUCAUAACAAAUAAGAAUUAAUAAAUUUUUUUUAUUAAAUUGAAAGGUGAAAUAAAUUAUAAUGCAAAUCCAAUUACUAGUUCCCAAGCAUUUAAUACAGAUUUAAUACAGGCGAUGAGAAUUUAUUUUUGGUGGCUGAUUUAAUAGAAGCAAAUUACAGAAUAUGGAAGACUGAGCUUAUUACCAGAUUGUUUCCCCCUGAGAUUGCCACAGCCAUCUGUUGUAUUCCACUAUCUGAAUAUGUUGACGAUGAUGUGCCAGUUUGGAAAGGAGAACAUACAUGACUUUACACAGUCAGGAGUGGCUAUCAAAUGUUAACCUAUGCCUCUGAUUCUACAGACUCUACCCAAGGUAAUAUUGACUUUUACAAAAAAAUUUGGUCUCUCCAAAUCACUCCCAAAAAUAAGAUAGCAAAUUGGAGAAUAUUACACAAUUUUAUUCCUACAGCAUCUAUACUUUACAAUAGAAGACUUGCUAUUUCCCCUAUGUGUCCCCGCUGUAAUAUUGAAGCUGAGACUCCGCUACAUAUAAGCACGCGGUGUGGCCCUGCACAGGAAGUUUGGAGACAGGUUAAUCUUGAAUGGACUCUAUCUGGUAACCAUGAGGACUACUGGAGCUGGUUUACUCACCUAAUGAGAUCGAGUGACACCCACGCCUGUUUUACCAUCGCCAUUACAAUUUGGGGUUUGUGGUAUGCUCGUAAUAGACAUGUCAUGGAAGGGAAACAACAACAUGCACUAGAAAUUAGUGCCAAAGUUAUCAGCCUUGUUCGUGAACUCAAGGAGUUCAGAGCGAAAUUACCCGAGGCAAGGAUAACGAUGAAGCAAAGCUGGAGCCCCCCGACGGAUCCGAUGCUCAAGCUUAACUUUGAUACUGCUUUUCAUGCCCAAAGCCGACAGUCUUCUUCUGGUUUUGUUGUUAGGAACGCCCAAGGCCAGGUUUUGGGAAGUGGUAUGGUACGGAACAAUUUUGUCUCUGAUCCUUUCAUGGCUGAAAUGCUUGCUUGCCUCGGAUGGUCUGCGAUUUGCCACUGACAUGGGUUUCAAGAAUUUAGUGGUUGAAGGGGACUCAAGAUCUACUAUUGUGCGUAUUACUGAGAUGGGUAGGGAUAGAUCUGCAAUUGGGGUUUAUGUUGAAGAAAUUAAGCAAAGAGCUAGAAUGUUUGAUAAAAUAAUUUUCAGAUCUGUUGAUAGGAACGCGAAUCGGGUGGCCCAUAUUCUAGCUAAAGCAAGAUCUACUUUCAAUGAAGACCGAUUUUGGGUAGAGGAUGUACCUGAUAUGGCUGUGUUGGUGGUGAAGGCUGACUGCCCGAUCCCAGUUGCGCCGGAUUAAGGUUUUUCCGUCCUCAGCUAGGGCUCCUUCAUGCUUCGAUUUGGAGCUUCCUUACACUCUUUUGGAUUUAGUUUUGAAACCCUGGUUUUUGCCUUUUCGUUUCUUUAUCUCCUAUCCCAGGAAACCGAGGCUAAUGGGUAUCUUUAUUUAUUGCGCACCGUUUUGUUUAGCUUCUUUAAUAACUGUGCCUCGGUAUUAUUCAAAAAAAAAAAAAAAACAUGAGUUUUAACAAUUAUUCUAUUUAAAUUAAAACAAAGUAAUAUUACUUUCUUAAAAGAAUAGUUUUAAGUGAUUUUAUAAUAAAAAACUCAAACUUAUAAUAAUAUAAUGAAAGAAGUAUAAUUCUAUCACAAAUAAAAAAAAUCAUCACAUAAAAUUUAUAAAACAUAUUUUAUAUAAUUAUAAACAAUAUUAGAUUAUAAAACACAUGAAUGAAAAUAGGAUUAUGUAGUAUAUAUUUAUAAAAAGUUUAAUAUUUAAUUGAAUGGUAAAAUAAAAAUGUUUAGAGUGGGAUUUAAAAUUUGAAUUAUUGUGCCUGAAAUAAAUUAAUUAGGAAAUAUCAAAGGAAAAUAAUCAGCUUGGUUUUUGCCCCACACAAUGCACCGCAGCAACUCUUCUCCCCAUCUUAUCUUAUCUUUUCUAGAGAAACCCUAAUUCACAUCUGCCUUUCUUACCUACUUAACCCAAUAAAAUGGUAGAAUUCUGAAGGGAAAGAAAAACUUUACCUUAAACAGAAAAAAAGAAUCCUUCCUUCAACUCUAAAAUAUUUACUUUUUCCAUAUCUCCAAGGAAGCCCCAAUUAAAAUUUCACAGUUUUUUUUUUUGCGGGGCUUUGGGGCUGUAAACUAU